rnacentral:rRNA from 1 species
AAUGAACGCUGGCGGUAGGCCUAACACAUGCAAGUCGAACGGCAGCACAGUAAGAGCUUGCUCUUACGGGUGGCGAGUGGCGGACGGGUGAGGAAUACAUCGGAAUCUACUUUUUCGUGGGGGAUAACGUAGGGAAACUUACGCUAAUACCGCAUACGACCUACGGGUGAAAGCAGGGGAUCUUCGGACCUUGCGCGAUUGAAUGAGCCGAUGUCGGGUUAGCUAGUUGGCGGGGUAAAGGCCCACCAAGGCGACGAUCCGUAGCUGGUCUGAGAGGAUGAUCAGCCACACUGGAACUGAGACACGGGCCAGACUCCUACGGGAGGCAGCAGUGGGGAAUAUUGGACAAAGGGCGCAAGCCUGAUCCAGCCAUACCGCGUGGGUGAAGAAGGCCUUCGGGUUGUAAAGCCCUUUUGUUGGGAAAGAAAAGCAGCAGGUUAAUACCCCGCUGUUCUGACGGUACCCAAAGAAUAAGCACCGGCUAACUUCGUG